AUACAUAGGGGGCGAGCGUUGUCCGGAAUCAUUGGGCGUAAAGCGCGUGUAGGCGGCCCUGUAAGUCGAAUGUGAAAUCUUCGGGCUCAACCCGGAAACUGCAUUCGAUACUGCAGGGCUUGAGGAAGGUAGAGGAGAGUGGAAUUCAUGGUGUAGCGGUGGAAUGCGCAGAUAUCAUGAGGAACACCAGUAGCGAAGGCGGCUCUCUGGGGCCUUUCCUGACGCUGAGACGCGAAAGCAUGGGUAGCAAACAGGAUUAGAUACCCUGGUAGUCCAUGCCGUAAACGAUGGGUGCUAGAUGUGGGGACCAGUUCACGGUCUCCGUGUCGAAGCUAACGCGUUAAGCACCCCGCCUGGGGACUACGGCCGCAAGGCUAAAACUCAAAGGAAUUGACGGGGGCCCGCACAAGCGGCGGAGCA
rnacentral:rRNA from 1 species